rnacentral:lncRNA from 1 species
CAGGGAUGUCAUAUUUAGUGUACUAUUUUGCCUUUUCUGUAGGAUUGAGUGUGUCCGUUGCAUUUAGUUAAGGCAAGUAUUUGGAAGAAAUAAGGGGCCAUUCCUUCCCUAUGAGCUAUAGAAAAAAGAGCACAUAGAAGAACCAAAGUGGAGGGAUUUAGAAGAUCCUUCUAGCAAGACUAACCCAGCAGACAGCCAUGGAGUUUCCCAGAGCCUGCUGGGAGCACUGUGACCAAAGGCAUACUUGGGGAACAGGGCUGGUGGAAGCUGUUGGGACAACUCUAUAGCACACGUGCUGGGGCACAGAUAGACAAGUGGAAAAUCGAAGAGGAAGGUUUUGAAGAGAGAAGAGGCAUCACCUGGGAAUGGUGCAACUCAACGCAGAAUGUACUGUGAAACAACUCUAACACUAAAAUCUGAUCAUGUGCCACAUAAGAAUGUCUUCAUUAUGGCUCAAUAAAUACAACUCACACC